UGAUGAAAAUGAUGAUGAUGAUGAUGAUGAUGAUGAUGAUGUAAGUUGCUUGCUACUAUGUUCUCAUCAUAACCAUUAUCAGCUACCAUUCCAU
rnacentral:miRNA from 1 species